ACGCAUCGCUGUUUUGAGGUGACGGUUCGGUACGCAUCGCUGUUUUGAGGUGACGGUUCGGUACGCAUCGCUGUUUUGAGGUGACGGUUCGGUACGCAUCGCUGUUUUGAGGUGACGGUUCGGUACGUAUCGCUGUUUUGAGGUGACGGUUCGGUACGUAUUGCUGUAAGCCCAACACAGGGUGCAUCUCACUCCUGGGUAAUGUGAGGGGGCUGUCACUGUUAAAGUAGCUCUCUCUAGCCCUGGAGGUCUAUCCAUCUGUAGUAAGCCCCUCUCUGAAGCCCUGGAGGUCCAUCCAUCUGUAGUAAGCCCCUCUCUGUAGCCCUGAAGCUCCAUCCAUCUGUAGUAAGCCCCUCUCUGUAGCCCUGGAGGUCUAUCCAUCUGUAGUAAUCCCCUCUCUGUAGUCCUGGAGGUCUAUCCAUCUGUAGUAAGUCCCUCUCUAUAGCCCUGGAGGUCCAUCCAUCUGUAGUAAGCCCCUCUCUAUAGCCCUGGAGGUCCAUCCAUCUGUAGUAAGCCCCUCUCUAUAGCGCUGGAGGUCUAUCCAUCUGUAGUAAGCCCCUCUCUGUAGUCCUGGAGGUCUAUCCAUCUGUAGUAAGCCCCUCUCUGUAGCCCUG
rnacentral:lncRNA from 1 species